rnacentral:rRNA from 1 species
GACGAACGCUGGCGGCGUGCUUAACACAUGCAAGUCGAACGGAAAGGCCCUGCUUGCAGGGUACUCGAGUGGCGAACGGGUGAGUAACACGUGGGUGAUCUGCCCUGCACUUCGGGAUAAGCCUGGGAAACUGGGUCUAAUACCGGAUAGGAGCCAUUUUUAGUGUGAUGGUUGGAAAGUUUUUUCGGUGUAGGAUGAGCUCGCGGCCUAUCAGCUUGUUGGUGGGGUAAUGGCCUACCAAGGCGGCGACGGGUAGCCGGCCUGAGGGGGUGGACGGCCACAUUGGGACUGAGAUACGGCCCAGACUCCUACGGGAGGCAGCAGUGGGGAAUAUUGCACAAUGGGCGCAAGCCUGAUGCAGCGACGCCGCGUGGGGGAUGACGGCCUUCGGGUUGUAAACUCCUUUCGCUAGGGACGAAGCUUUUGUGACGGUACCUAGAGAAGAAGCACCGGCUAACUACGUG